UUUCCUCUUCCUGUCUGUCAUGUCCAGCCUGUGAAGAGCACGCUGGCUGAGCUGGCGAGAGGGGUGGGGGCGUCCUGGGGCUGCUUCUGCUCUGAUGAAGGCACCCACUGUCACUGUCCCGGCCCUCGCUGAGUGUUCCCGGACCCGUGGGCCCGCGUCUGUGCCAGGCCUUGGGGAGCUCCAGCCUCGGAGCCUCUUCCCGUUCUCAGACCUCAGUGCGAGGAGGAAAUCGGGAUUCAAGUCUGCAAAAUAGAGGGGAGACCCCUAGGAGCUUGGGGACUGCGGAGGCCCCUAGGCCCAGCAUGGGGCGUCCAGAGUUGUUGCCUUGUGGACCAAGACAGCCCACAGCCCAUGGCAGCUUCCAGAGCCAGAAGAAGAGGAGUCAUCUCUGAAGAGCCCUGGACUACCUCCUUGCGGAUCUCAUUGGCCAGAACUUUCUGGCUCUCAUGCUCACCACAAGGCCAAUCACUAGCAAGAUAAAAAAGGAGCACCCCGAAGGGCCGAGACCAGCUGUGCCUCCGGGCAGGGGAGGGGCUG
ensembl:lncRNA LINC02691 long intergenic non-protein coding RNA 2691